AUUGAACGCUGGCGGCAUGCCUUACACAUGCAAGUCGAACGGCAGCACGGGGCAACCUGGUGGCGAGUGGCGAACGGGUGAGUAAUGCAUCGGAACGUACCUUUCAGUGGGGGAUAACGUAGCGAAAGUCACGCUAAUACCGCAUAUUCUGUGAGCAGGAAAGCAGGGGAUCGCAAGACCUUGAGCUGAUUGAGCGGCCGAUGUCAGAUUAGCUAGUUGGUGAGGUAAAGGCUCACCAAGGCGACGAUCUGUAGCGGGUCUGAGAGGAUGAUCCGCCACACUGGAACUGAGACACGGUCCAGACUCCUACGGGAGGCAGCAUUGGGGAAUUUUGGACAAUGGGGGCAACCCUGAUCCAGCCAUGCCGCGUGAGUGAAGAAGGCCUUCGGGUUGUAAAGCUCUUUCGGCCGGGAAGAAAUCGCACGGGCUAAUACCCUGUGUGGAUGACGGUACCGGAAUAAGAAGCACCGGCUAACUACGUGCCAGCCGCCGCCGUAAAAC
rnacentral:rRNA from 1 species